GAGGCCAGGAAGGCUGCCGGGGAGGUGGAAGACGAGGGUACCGAAGAGCUGGGGGCCGACGCGGAGACCCAACCCAGCAGCACUAGCGCCAGCCUUGCCAACCGCAGCCGUCCGUCCCCGGCGGAGGGGCCCCGGGAGCCCGCCCCAGGCAUCGCGGCUCGCGGUUCCCCGGAGCUGGGACAGCGCCCGCUCCGAAGACUCGACCGCCUGGGCCCGGCGGGCGCGAGCCGGCCGCAAGCGUCGACGGCAAACUUUCCUCGCGUGGGAGCAGAGGAGGGGACGCCAAAAGCUGGAACUUGGCUAACCCCGAGCCACCGGGCGUCCCCCUCCCGGAGCGGCACCCCGCCCUUCCCUCCAGUGAGUACGCACGGCGGGUCGGGACACGGGCCUUGGCGCUCCUCCUCCCGCCGCAGCUGGGGUGGGUGGCACCUCCUCAACUCCUUUGUUGGCGCCUCUCUCAGGGCAGGAUCGGAUGAGCGACCUGGGACAAGCGGGAGAGAAGCGUGAGGAGGAGUGACGGCCGCAGCUCCCCGAGUACGAACCAAGUUGUCCCCACACUAGCAACCCGGCCCAAGCUUCUGUGUGCGUCCUUCCUCCCUAGUGGGACGCGGUCCCCACUCCCAGGCGCUAAGCCUACCUCUUCCCGGCCCACACCAUCAGGACCCGGGCCACCUCCCGCCUGGCUCCUGCCCGGAUUGCCCUCCUCCCGCCUAGAACUUCACGCAGACCCCGCGGUGUCCAGAGAGCAAACUUCUCCCUUUUCCGGAUCCCAGCUCCUACCGCCCCAGCCGGCCACCUGCCUUCCGGGGUCCCCGCCCCCGCCGCUCCUCCCCCUCCCACGUUGGGAUGAGAGCGAAGUUUCGGGUUACGGGACUCUUUCGAGCUUUUUUUUUUUUUUGGUACCUCCUUGGAUUAGUGUGAAAAGGGGAGCAGAGCCGUACAGCUGUCGCCUACUCUCGACUCCCCAGUUCCUGGCCACCCAGCUCCCCGAUCCCGAGAGGAUCCAGACAUCUCCAGAAAAACGGAGGGAACCCGCCAACAAAGCGGCCGUGGGACCGUGGGCGGUGUGGCAGCCAGGACCCCCCCCCCCCCCCCCCCCGCCCCCCUUCACGCCCUAGUAUAGAAAGGAACCCUGGUCCCGCCUCCAGGCUCCAAACCUGGCCGCUCGGUCCCCACUGCUCACCUCCGGACCCCGCGCCUGCAAAGCCAACUCCGAGGGCCACCCGAGUCCACGCGCCUUCCCAGCUCCUGCUGCGGGCGCCGACUCUCCUCUCACCCCAGCCCCUGGCCCAACCUCCACGGCUGGGAAAAACCAAGCCGGGGGGCGGGGGAGGGCCAGGGCUGCAGGAGAGAUCGCCGCCGCGCUGGCCACCUCUGCUGCCCCAGGUGGAAGCAGAAGGAGCAGAAGUUCCAGCUCACCUUCGGCUACAAGAUAACUUUGAGAUGACCUGGAGAAAGACCCUGUCUUGAAACAAUCCCAGAAAGAAGAGCAGGCUGAGCCAUUGUUAAGACAGCUCAUCAGACAGAUCACUGGAAGAAAAAAACCUGACAAGACGCCGCAAGAAAAGGAAACCACAGAGUGGGACCACGUAUGAUUGUAGAUGUAACAUCCUUUCGCUAAAUUAAACCUAAUCAAACCCAGAGACAAGCAAAAAUGACUGUAAUCCAUGACUACGCAGGAUUCACAUCUAGGAAUACAAGGAUGCUUAAAUGAAAAGAAAUUGACUGUUGCAAUACAAAUUACCAAUGGAAACAAAAGAAAACAAACAAACAGACAGAAACAAAAUAUGGCCAUACCAUCUGAUGUGGUAGAGUAUUUAGCAAUAUUCACCAUCCAGUCUGAUAAAAGAAAACACCCUACCUAAUAUAAAUGAAAGAAGUCCCCAUUCUGGUUAAGAGUACCAGAAACCAAACUAAUACCACAAAGAGCACACCUACAAUGGCAUGUAAUGGCAGGAGAUAUGAUUUCCUGUUAUAUUGAUGAUGCACAGGGGAAAAUAUGCUGCAGCCUUAAACAUUCAUAAAAUGAAAAGUUAUAUUUUUAAUUUCUUGUGGUUUUUUUUACAUAAUAAAAAGUCACAUUGUCAGAGAAUAGAGUUGGUCUGUCUCCUCCUGCCUAGUCUGACUGCCUCAUGUUCUUGCCUGAUUGUUUUAUGUGGCGUGCCCAAUACAAUCUUGAAAAAGAGCUAGGUAAGAGCAGACAUCCUUGUUUUGGUAUUUACUAUCAUGUGAAACCAUUCUGUCUUUAAGCAUUAAAUGUUAUCUUAGCUGUGGAGUUUUACUUCUUGCUGCUAUUACUGUUUUUGUAUAUAUCAAUUUAAUAGAAUUUCAUUGACACACU
ensembl:processed_transcript 9330154J02Rik RIKEN cDNA 9330154J02 gene